UCCGGCUUAACGCCGGCAGUCCCCCUAGAGUGCCCAACUGAAUGGUGGCAACUAAGAGCGAGGGUUGCGCUCGUUGCGGGACUUAACCCAACACCUCACGGCACGAGCUGACGACAGCCAUGCAGCACCUGAACCGGCAGUCCCCGAAGGGAAAAUCCUAUUUCUAGGACGGUCCACCAUUGUCUAGCCCAGGUAAGGUUCUUCGCGUUGCGUCGAAUUGAACCACAUGCUCCGCUGCUUGUGCGGGUCCCCGUCAAUUCCUUUGAGUUUUAAGCUUGCGCUCGUAGUCCCCAGGCGGCCGACUUAGCGCGUGAGCUCGGGCCCCCCAGGGCUAUUCGCCCCACGAAGACCGAGUCGGCAUCGUUUACGGCGUGGACUAC
rnacentral:misc_RNA from 1 species